UCCACAACCUUUUGGUGUACGGGAUGAUGCUCCAACCAGUUGAGCUACACCGGCCAGGGCUGUUUGGAAUAAUUUUCAGACUGAUCCUGUGAGGAAAACAUUAUGCAGGGAAGGAAUCCUCGGGCAAGGGAGGUGACUUGCCCAAGAUCAUUUAACCCAGAGAAAUAAUCAAGGGCAGAACUUGAAUUAAAGUUUAAUUUCAUUUGGUUGAAUCACCAUAUGCUUUAUACUCUGCUGCCUUCUACAUACUUGGUGGGCAAAGGAGAUGGUGAGUGUGUGGCCAUGGGAAUGCUCAGUUACAAUGCAGUCUUGUUUUUAAGAGGCAAAUCCCAAGGAAAACAAGUGGCCCCCCCCCCCCGAACUUCAAAGAUUACUCCAGCCUUUUUAUUAGAAUUCUUAUUUGGAACACUAAAAAACGAGAAAUAAGAGGGAAGCUGUUUGUACUGAAACCAGGGAAAAGGGAGGCCCAAGAGCUGCCCACUCAGUCUCUGAUGACCACUUGGGCUUCCACAUUACUCUGGACUCCCUUUAGCAGUCCUGUUCCCCUCUAGGCACUGGGGCUUUAAGACAGACUGGGUUAGCCUGUGGCUCUGGUGAGAAAAUGAGGGCUCAGUGAGGGAAGAGACCAAGGCCACACAAGUGGUGGGGCCAGGGUAGAAACUAGGUCUAACACCAUUAAUAGGUUUUGCUACAUUAUGCUUACUGUUAUCAUUUUAAAAAAGAAAAAUCACUCACCCAUUUGGUAUCUUGACAGCUCCUAAUGAAGAGCAAGUGAUCUGUGAAGCAGUUUUCACAGAGUGUUAAUCCUAGGCACCUCUUUCAGUAACUUUAUACCCUGCAGAAAGGAUUCCAGCCACGUCAGCCCAGCAUGCUCCCCUGCCUUAAUCACCAGAAUCCCAACACCUGAGUGCCAUACAUCAGAGGAUGAAACAGUGACAAGGAGACCUGAUGGCAGUGAGAAAACCCAGCUGUGAUACCGUUCCUGGUUUUCAGUGGUGAAGUCUUGGUGAUCAGUCCUUGGACUACCCUGAAAGCUGUUGUUACUUUCAAAUGAUUUAGUAUGGGCACAAAAAUUUGAGUGUAGUGCUGAAAAAAAAAGGGGGGGUGUGUACUUUGUUUCACC